rnacentral:rRNA from 1 species
UUGGAGGGCAAGUCUGGUGCCAGCAGCCGCGGUAGUUCCAGCUCCAAUAGCGUAUAUUAAAGUUGUUGCAGUUAAAAAGCUCGUAGUUGAAUUUCGGGGUUAGCAAGUUGGUCGUGCCAAUGGUAUGUACUGGCUCGCUGAUUCCUCCUUCUUGUAGAACCGUAAUGCCAUUAAUUUAGUGUUGCGGGGAAACAGGACUGUUACUUUGAAAAAAUUAGAGUGUUUAAAGCAGGCUAGCGCCUGAAUACAUUAGCAUGGAAUAAUGAAAUAGGACGUUCGAACCUAUUUUGUUGGUUUCUAGGAUUGACGUAAUGAUUAAUAGGGAUAGUUGGGGGCAUUAGUAUUCAAUUGUCAGAGGUGAAAUUCUUGGAUUUAUUGAAGACUGACUACUGCGAAAGCAUUUGCCAAGGAUGUUUUCAUUAAUCAAGAACGAAAGUUAGGGGAUCGAAGACGAUCAGAUACCGUCGUAGUCUUAACCAUAAACUAUGCCGACUAGGGAUCGGAUGAUGUUAAUUUUUUAAUGACUCAUUCGGCGCCUUACGGGAAAC